rnacentral:lncRNA from 10 species
GCGGCCGCCGCGCUUCUGCUCUCAGUGUCCCGGACUUCAGGAGCCACACAGGACAGUUGACCCAACACUUCUGCCACCUGAAGAACGACACCUGCAUUCCUCCAUCUCUGGGACCACCAAGGAACUCAGGGAGCUUGGAAUCUCUCAGAUCAAAAAGAUACUGACUCAUCGGAUAGCCAUGCCAUCCUGAAAACGGCCUUCCUUGUGUGUACAUUAUUUGCAACAAGCAACAAGUUUAUAAGCACUUUGGUAAAAUUGCAUGUGAGGGUUAAAAUAUUAAAGUCAGUGCGUCAACUUGAAAUAAAUGAUGAGUUAU